UACGUAGGGGGCUAGCGUUGUCCGGAAUCAUUGGGCGUAAAGCGCGUGUAGGCGGUCCGGUAAGUCCGCUGUGAAAGUCGGGGGCUCAACCCUCGGAUGCCGGUGGAUACUGUCGGGCUUGAGUACGGAAGAGGCGAGUGGAAUUCCUGGUGUAGCGGUGAAAUGCGCAGAUAUCAGGAGGAACACCAAUGCGAAGGCAGCUCGCUGGACGUACUGACGCUGAGUACGCGAAAGCGUGGGGAGCAAACAGG
rnacentral:rRNA from 1 species